GACGGGUGAGAAUCCCGUCCACCGAUUGACUAAGGUUUCCAGAGGAAGGCUCGUCCGCUCUGGGUUAGUCGGGUCCUAAGCUGAGGCCGACAGGCGUAGGCGAUGGAUAACAGGUUGAUAUUCCUGUACCACCUAUAAUCGUUUUAAUCGAUGGGGGGACGCAGUAGGAUAGGCGAAGCGUGCGAUUGGAUUGCACGUCUAAGCAGUAAGGCUGAGUAUUAGGCAAAUCCGGUACUCGUUAAGGCUGAGCUGUGAUGGGGAGAAGACAUUGUGUCUUCGAGUCGUUGAUUUCACACUGCCGAGAAAAGCCUCUAGAUAGAAAAUAGGUGCCCGUACCGCAAACCGACACAGGUAGUCAAGAUGAGAAUUCUAAGGUGAGCGAGCGAACUCUCGUUAAGGAACUCGGCAAAAUGACCCCGUAACUUCGGGAGAAGGGGUGCUCUUUAGGGUUAACGCCCAGAAGAGCCGCAGUGAAUAGGCCCAAGCGACUGUUUAUCAAAAACACAGGUCUCUGCUAAACCGUAAGGUGAUGUAUAGGGGCUGACGCCUGCCCGGUGCUGGAAGGUUAAGAGGAGUGGUUAGCUUCUGCGAAGCUACGAAUCGAAGCCCCAGUAAACGGCGGCCGUAACUAUAACGGUCCUAAGGUAGCGAAAUUCCUUGUCGGGUAAGUUCCGACCCGCACGAAAGGCGUAACGAUUUGGGCACUGUCUCAACGAGAGACUCGGUGAAAUCAUAGUACCUGUGAAGAUGCAGGUUACCCGCGACAGGACGGAAAGACCCCGUGGAGCUUUACUGUAGCCUGAUAUUGAAAUUCGGCACAGCUUGUACAGGAUAGGUAGGAGCCUUUGAAACGUGAGCGCUAGCUUACGUGGAGGCGCUGGUGGGAUACUACCCUAGCUGUGUUGGCUUUCUAACCCGCACCACUUAUCGUGGUGGGAGACAGUGUCAGGCGGGCAGUUUGACUGGGGCGGUCGCCUCCUAAAAGGUAACGGAGGCGCUCAAAGGUUCCCUCAGAAUGGUUG
rnacentral:rRNA from 1 species